rnacentral:sRNA from 1 species
AGUACGCAGCGUUGGACGCUAUGAACAGCCUCCCUGGUCCCUUUUUCAUUCUCCUUGUUUCUCCUUGUUCUUUCCCGGCCUCCCUGUAGCUCCUGCUCUCUUCCUUGGUGUCCCGCCAUUUCAUUUAGUCAGUGGCAACUGUUCAGGCUAAAUUUUGAAAACACUCCUUCCUUGUAAAACUUACUGAAGUUUAGUGGAAGGUGCAAGAGCUUUAGAACAGACAGACCUGAGUUUCAGAUCUUGGACUAGCUACUAAUAAUUUGUGACUUUGGGCAUGCGAUGGAAGAACUAUUUUACCCUAUAAACUCUGGGCCAUCAUUCAAGGAAAAGCCUGUAGAAGACCACAGUCAGAUAUUGAGUUUUGAUUCAUCAUGGAUAAUCUGUCGUCAGAAGAAAUUCAACAGAGAGCUCACCAGAUUACUGAUGAGUCUCUGGAAAGUACGAGGAGAAUCCUGGGUUUAGCCGUUGAGGUAAGAAAAUGUUAGUCAUCAACUUAAGUAUAGAAAUUUAUAGGAGAGAUCCUAAUACUUCUGGCUGGAAUUAGUAUUAAAGGGUAAUGUAUCAAUAUGCUUUAUUAUUUGAAAUUAACAGUUGCUGAA